rnacentral:rRNA from 1 species
UAAGGAAUAUUGGUCAAUGGAGGCAACUCUGAACCAGCCAUGCCGCGUGCAGGAAGACAGCCCUCUGGGUCGUAAACUGCUUUUAUUCGGGAAUAAACCACGAUACGUGUAUUGUGCUGAAUGUACCGAAGGAAUAAGGAUCGGCUAACUCCGUGCCAGCAGCCGCGGUAAUACGGAGGAUCCAAGCGUUAUCCGGAUUUAUUGGGUUUAAAGGGUGCGUAGGCGGCUUAUUAAGUCAGGGGUGAAAGACGGUGGCUCAACCAUCGCAGUGCCCUUGAUACUGAUGAGCUUGAAUGAACUAGAGGUAGGCGGAAUGUGACAAGUAGCGGUGAAAUGCAUAGAUAUGUCACAGAACACCGAUUGCGAAGGCAGCUUACUAUGGUUUUAUUGACGCUGAGGCACGAAAGCGUGGGGAUCAAACA